GCCCCGCACGUCGUAGUUGGAUACGAAUAGGCCUCCGGGCCCAGAACCUCAGCAGGCCGGCGACGGUGUCCGGGGAGAGACCCCCGGGCGCCAGCCGGCGGAUUGCAAUGUCACCACGCGCGGGGAUAGAUCCUCUGCAGACGACUGAAAUGACCAAGCGGGUCGUGUAAGCGGUCAAGUAGCCUUGUUGUUACGAGUCGCUGAGCGUCAGCCCGAUCCUUGGCUCGAUUUGU
rnacentral:ncRNA from 1 species